rnacentral:sRNA from 2 species
GUUACAUACGAGCCGAAUCGCGGGCCCUCUGAGGCCUGCGAGCGGGGGACCCAUUGGUCCCGAGGACCGGGGGCGAAUCGCCGCGAGUGCGGCGUAGCGCGACCGAACCAUGGCUGCGCGAGCCCGUCAGCUCACCUCGCAGGCUCUCUGAGACAGGAGCA